rnacentral:rRNA from 1 species
UCGAGCGGUAGAGAGAAGCUUGCUUCUCUUGAGAGCGGCGGACGGGUGAGUAAUGCCUAGGAAUCUGCCUAGUGGUGGGGGAUAACGUUCGGAAACGGACGCUAAUACCGCAUACGUCCUACGGGAGAAAGCGGGGGACCUUCGGGCCUCGCGCCAUUAGAUGAGCCUAGGUCGGAUUAGCUAGUUGGUGAGGUAAAGGCUCACCAAGGCGACGAUCCGUAACUGGUCUGAGAGGAUGAUCAGUCACACUGGAACUGAGACACGGUCCAGACUCCUACGGGAGGCAGCAGUGGGGAAUAUUGGACAAUGGGCGAAAGCCUGAUCCAGCCAUGCCGCGUGUGUGAAGAAGGUCUUCGGAUUGUAAAGCACUUUAAGUUGGGAGGAAGGGUAGUAACUUAAUACGUUGCUACUUUGACGUUACCGACAGAAUAAGCACCGGCUAACUUCGUGCCAGCAGCCGCGGUAAUACGAAGGGUGCAAGCGUUAAUCGGAAUUACUGGGCGUAAAGCGCGCGUAGGUGGUUCAGUAAGUUGGAAGUGAAAUCCCCGGGCUCAACCUGGGAACUGCUUUCAAAACUGCUGAGCUAGAGUACGGUAGAGGGUGGUGGAAUUUCCUGUGUAGCGGUGAAAUGCGUAGAUAUAGGAAGGAACACCAGUGGCGAAGGCGACCACCUGGACUGAUACUGACACUGAGGUGCGAAAGCGUGGGGAGCAAACAGGAUUAGAUACCCUGGUAGUCCACGCCGUAAACGAUGUCAACUAGCCGUUGGGAGUCUUGAACUCUUAGUGGCGCAGCUAACGCAUUAAGUUGACCGCCUGGGGAGUACGGCCG